rnacentral:rRNA from 1 species
UACAGAGGGGGCAAGCGUUAUUCGGAAUUAUUGGGCGUAAAGGGCGCGUAGGCGGCCUGGCAAGUGGAAGGUGAAAUCCCUCGGCUUAACCGAGGAACUGCGUCCGAUACUGGAAGGCUUGAAUCCGGGAGAGGGAUGUGGAAUUCCAGGUGUAGCGGUGAAAUGCGUAGAUAUCUGGAGGAACACCGGUGGCGAAGGCGGCAUCCUGGACCGGCAUUGACGCUGAGGCGCGAAAGCUAGGGGAGCAAACGGG